UGGGGAAUAUUGCACAAUGGGCACAAGCCUGAUGCAGCCAUGCCGCGUGUAUGAAGAAGGCCUUCGGGUUGUAAAGUACUUUCAGCGGGGAGGAAGGUGUUGAGGUUAAUAACCUCAGCAAUUGACGUUACCCGCAGAAGAAGCACCGGCUAACUCCGUGCCAGCAGCCGCGGUAAUACGGAGGGUGCAAGCGUUAAUCGGAAUUACUGGGCGUAAAGCGCACGCAGGCGGUCUGUCAAGUCGGAUGUGAAAUCCCCGGGCUCAACCUGGGAACUGCAUUCGAAACUGGCAGGCUAGAGUCUUGUAGAGGGGGGUAGAAUUCCAGGUGUAGCGGUGAAAUGCGUAGAGAUCUGGAGGAAUACCGGUGGCGAAGGCGGCCCCCUGGACAAAGACUGACGCUCAGGUGCGAAAGCGUGGGGAGCAAACA
rnacentral:rRNA from 1 species